UGGGGGAUAUUGCACAAUGGGCGAAAGCCUGAUGCAGCGACGCCGCGUGGGGGAUGAAGGCCUUCGGGUUGUAAACUUCUUUUGCUCUGAACAAGGCAUGCUAAUGGGUGUGUUGAGUGUAGGGGUUGAUUAGCGCCGGCUAACUACGUGCCAGCAGCCGCGGUAAUACGUAGGGCGCGAGCGUUGUCCGGAAUUAUUGGGCGUAAAGGGCUUGUAGGUGGCUGGUUGCGUCUGUCGUGAAAGCUCAUUGCUUAACUGUGGGUUUGCGGUGGGUACGGGCUGGCUGGAGUGCAGUAGGGGGGGGUGGAAUUCCUGGUGUAGCGGUGGAAUGCGCAGAUAUCAGGAGGAAUACCGGUGGCGAAGGCGGGUUUCUGGGCUGUUACUGACACUGAGGAGCGAAAGCAUGGGGAGCGAACAGG
rnacentral:rRNA from 1 species